CUUCUCCGAGGAAGGGCUUUUGAAACUGGGAAACUUGAUUGCCUAAAAAGAAAGUGGAACUCCCUGUGGUGCGGGGGAAUGGGUAAAUAUUUGGAAGAACACCAGUGGCGAAGGGGGCUUUCUGGUUUGUAACUGACGCUGAAAUUCCGAAGCAUGGGUAAGAAACCGGAUUAAAUACCCUGGGAAGCCCUGCCCCAAACAAUGAAUGCUAAGUGUUGGAGGGUUUCCCCCCUUCCCUUUUCAACUAACGCAUUAAACCCUCCGCCUGGGGAGACGAUCGCAAAAUUGAAACUCAAAGGAAUUGACGGGGGCCCCCCCAAGCCGGGGAGCAUGUGGUUUAAUUUUAAGCAACGCGAAAAACCUUACCAGGUCUUGACAUUCCCUGAAAAGCUUAGAAAUUAAGCUUUCCCUUCCGGGACAUGGAUACAGGGGGUGCAUGGUUGUCCUCAGCUCGUGUCCUGAGAUGUUGGGUUAAGUCCCGCAACGAGCGCAACCCUUAUUAUCAUUCGCCAGCAUUCAGUUGGGCACUCUGGGGAGACUGCCGGUGACAAACCGGAGGAAAGGGGGGGGGACAUCAAAUCAUCAUGCCCCUUUAUGACCUGCGCUACACACGUGCUACAAUGGGCGCGAACAAAG
rnacentral:rRNA from 1 species